rnacentral:rRNA from 1 species
UACGGGGGGAGCAAGCGUUGUUCGGAUUUACUGGGCGUAAAGGGCGCGUAGGCGGCCACCGCAAGUCGGUUGUGAAAUCUCCGGGCUUAACCCGGAAAGGUCAAUCGAUACUGCGGGGCUAGAGUGCAGAAGGGGCAACUGGAAUUCUCGGUGUAGCGGUGAAAUGCGUAGAUAUCGGGAAGAACACCAAAGGCGAAAGCACUUUGCUGGGCCGAAACUGACACUGAUAGACGAAAGCUAGGGGAGCAAAUGGG